rnacentral:lncRNA from 1 species
GUUCCUUGCAGACUAUCUUCUUUGGUUAAAUAUGUGAUACAGUUGUCAAGUUGACAGUAGAAUCUUGAAAAAAUUUGUAAGGUUUCCAUGGAACCCAAUGUCUUGUCUACUUUUGCUGUUAAUCACACACUCAACAAUGAUGAAAAAAAUCAAUAAAAUUAUUCCUCUUGAUACUAUCUUUUGAUUGUCAGAAGCUUCUGUUCAAGUUUGGUAAAAAUCCAGGCUAGUUUAAGAAUCUUAAAAAUGUUUUAAAAACUUUAACUGCAGACUGUAUGUAAUGUUAACUGGAAGAAAAACUAAGUCCAUUUAUAAGAAAAUAC